AUAAUGGGUCAGCGACUUAUAUUCUGUAGCAAGGUUAACCGAAUAGGGGAGCCGAAGGGAAACCGAGUCUUAACUGGGCGUUAAGUUGCAGGGUAUAGACCCGAAACCCGGUGAUCUAGCCAUGGGCAGGUUGAAGGUUGGGUAACACUAACUGGAGGACCGAACCGACUAAUGUUGAAAAAUUAGCGGAUGACUUGUGGCUGGGGGUGAAAGGCCAAUCAAACCGGGAGAUAGCUGGUUCUCCCCGAAAGCUAUUUAGGUAGCGCCUCGUGAAUUCAUCUCCGGGGGUAGAGCACUGUUUCGGCAAGGGGGUCAUCCCGACUUACCAACCCGAUGCAAACUGCGAAUACCGGAGAAUGUUAUCACGGGAGACACACGGCGGGUGCUAACGUCCGUCGUGAAGAGGGAAACAACCCAGACCGCCAGCUAAGGUCCCAAAGUCAUGGUUAAGUGGGAAACGAUGUGGGAAGGCCCAGACAGCCAGGAUGUUGGCUUAGAAGCAGCCAUCAUUUAAAGAAAGCGUAAUAGCUCACUGGUCGAGUCGGCCUGCGCGGAAGAUGUAACGGGGCUAAACCAUGCACCGAAGCUGCG
rnacentral:rRNA from 1 species